CCUACGGGAGGCAGCAGUGAGGAAUAUUGGUCAAUGGACGAGAGUCUGAACCAGCCAAGUAGCGUGAAGGAUGACUGUACUAUGGGUUGUAAACUUCUUUUAUAAAGGAAUAAAACGAGGUACGUGUGCCUUUUUGCAUGUACUUUAUGAAUAAGGAUCGGCUAACUCCGUGCCAGCAGCCGCGGUAAUACGGAGGAUGCGAGCGUUAUCCGGAUUUAUUGGGUUUAAAGGGAGCGUAGAUGGUUUGUUAAGUCAGUUGUGAAAGUUUGCGGCUCAACCGUAAAAUUGCAGUUGAUACUGGCAGUCUUGAGUACAGUUGAGGUAGGCGGAAUUCGCGGUGUAGCGGUGAAAUGCUUAGAUAUCACGAAGAACCCCGAUUGCGAAGGCAGCAUACUAAACUGUGACUGACAUUGAGGCUCGAAAGUGUGGGUAUCAAACAGGAUUAGAUACCCCGGUAGUC
rnacentral:rRNA from 1 species